rnacentral:rRNA from 1 species
AGAGUUUGAUCAUGGCUCAGANCGAACGCUGGCGGCGUGGAUAAGACAUGCAAGCCGAACGAGACUUUUCGUUGUAGCAAUACGAUGGAAAGUUUAGUGGCGAACGGGUGCUUAACACGUGGGCAACCCGCCAUGAAGUGGGGGAUAGCUCGCCGAAAGKCGAAUUAAURCCGCAUGUGAUUAGAAAGGACAUCCUUUCGAGAUUAAAGUCGGGGCWCCCUGACGCNUCUUGUGGGGCCCUCGGCCUAUCAGCUAGUUGGUGAGGUAACGGCUCACCAAGGCUUUGYCGGGUAGYUGGUUUGAGAGGACGUCCAGCCACACUGGGAUUGAGACNSGGCCCAGMCMCCUACGGGUGGCACCAGUCGAGAAUUUUUGCACAAUGGGGCAAMCCCUGCC